AUGAUUUGAAACAUAUACAACAUGAAAGUUUUUUAUGAUUUUAUUAUAUUACGGAACACGUAACCUUAAACCGCUGAAAAUUAAUUUAUCUUCUUUUAUAACAGGAAAACUUACUUUUUGCUGGUAUUUUUGUUAAAUAACAUGACUACGACAAAGAUUGAAUUUGCAGUAAACAUGACUUGUCAAAAAUGUGUUGAUUUAAUACGCAAUACAUUAACCGGUAUAGAUGGAAUUGAAAAUAUUGACAUAUCAUUAGAAAAUAAUAAUGUUAUUGUUGAAACAAAUUUACCAUAUUCUAUAAUUCAAGAAAAAAUUGAACAAUCUGGAAAAAAAGCUGUUUUAAAAGGAUAUGGAGAUACUUCUAGUGCUGUUACAAUGUUAGGAGGAAAUUCAGGAUAUACUGUAAAUAAUAAGAUAAUGGGUGUAAUAAGAUUUGCACAAACUCCUGAUGGUUGUCUUAUAGAUGGAACAAUUGAUGGUUUAACACCUGGUGAACAUGGUAUACACAUUCAUGAAUGUGGUGAUAUUUCUCAAGGUUGUGAUAGUGUUGGAGAACAUUUUAAUCCAAAUAAUACAAUACAUGGUAGUCCUAAAGAUGACAUAUUUAAACGGCAUGUUGGAGAUUUAGGAAAUAUAAUGGUUAAUGAUUUUGGUAGAGCUACUUUUAGAAUGAUAGAUAAAGUUAUAGAAAUAGCUGAUAUUAUUGGAAGAUCUUUAGUUAUAACAGAAAAACCAGAUGAUUUGGGAAGAGGAACUAACCCAGAAUCUAAAAUAAAUGGAAAUAGUGGAAAUAAGUAANNUUGUGGUAUUAUUGCUCGUUCAUCUAGUUUAUUUCAAAAUACAAAAAAGAUCUGUGCUUGUGAUGGACUUACAUUAUGGGAUGAAAGGGAUAAAACUUUUACAAAUAAACAUGAUUAUUCUAAAUCAACAAAAUUAUAAAUAACACAUA
rnacentral:misc_RNA from 1 species